rnacentral:rRNA from 1 species
AUUGAACGCUGGCGGCAGGCCUAACACAUGCAAGUCGAGCGGAUGAAGGGAGCUUGCUCCUGGAUUCAGCGGCGGACGGGUGAGUAAUGCCUAGGAAUCUGCCUGGUAGUGGGGGAUAACGUCCGGAAACGGGCGCUAAUACCGCAUACGUCCUGAGGGAGAAAGUGGGGGAUCUUCGGACCUCACGCUAUCAGAUGAGCCUAGGUCGGAUUAGCUAGUUGGUGGGGUAAAGGCCUACCAAGGCGACGAUCCGUAACUGGUCUGAGAGGAUGAUCAGUCACCCUGGAACUGAGACACGGCCCAGACUCCUAGGGGAGGCAGCGGGGGGGAAUAUUGGACAAUGGGCGAAAGCCUGAUCCAGCCAUGCCGCGUUGGUGAAGAAGGUCUUCGGAUUGUAAAGCACUUUAAGUUGGGGGGAAGGGCAGUAAGUUAAAACCUUGCUGUUUGGACGUUACCAAAAAAAAAAGCCCCGGCUAACUUCGU